rnacentral:rRNA from 1 species
GAUCCUGGCUUAGGAUGAACGCUAGCGAUAGGCCUAACACAUGCAAGUCGAGGGCAGCACAUGAAGUAGCAAUACAGAUGGUGGCGACCGGCGCACGGGUGAGUAACACGUAUGCAACCUACCUUCAACAGGAGAAUAACCCGGCGAAAGUCGGACUAAUACUCCAUAAUACAGGGAUCCCGCAUGGGAAUAUUUGUUAAAGAUUUAUCGGUUGAAGAUGGGCAUGCGUUCCAUUAGCUAGUUGGUGAGGUAACGGCUCACCAAGGCAACGAUGGAUAGGGGAACUGAGAGGUUUAUCCCCCACACUGGUACUGAGACACGGACCAGACUCCUACGGGAGGCAGCAGUGAGGAAUAUUGGUCAAUGGAGGCAACUCUGAACCAGCCACGUCCGCGUGAAGGAUGACGGCCCUACGGGUUGUAAACUUCUUUUGUAAGGGAAUAAAGUUUAGUACGUGUACUAUUUUGCAUGUACCUUACGAAUAAGGAUCGGCUAACUCCGUGCCAGCAGCAGC